AAGGGAGACCUAAUUCGGGUAUAAGACGAAAAAAUAGUAGUCGAAACCAAGAAUCAAUCCCAAAAGGUCGGAGCGAGGCAUGAGGCUUUCAAACUAGGUUCUGGGUUCAUAAAAGACCUGAAUCAGGAACAAGGGCUAUUAGCUCAGGUGGUUAGAGCGCACCCCUGAUAAGGGUGAGGUCCCUGGUUCGAGUCCAGGAUGGCCCACCUGCACAGGUGGCAAAAACAAAAGAAGCGAGGAAUCAGCACCUUAUCUUACCUAUAUAGUAAGAGAGAAUGCUGGCUCUGAGUAAAGAGUCCAGAGGAACCUUGAAAACUGCAUAGAGCUAGGUGAAAAAGCCAAAAAAGAAGACCGCAA
rnacentral:tRNA from 2 species